GAGGGUAUAGCUCAGUGGUAGAAUGUGUGCUUAGCAUGCACGAGGUCCUGGGCUCAAUCCCCAGUGCCUCCA
rnacentral:tRNA from 1 species